GGUCAGAACGAAGGUCUGCUUUUCGAAGGCUCACUCCACUGUGGCGCGCGGGCGUUUACGCGCGUGUCGCCAUCCCCCCCCCUCUCCCCCUCCCCCUGCCUUCGGGGAAAGUCCCCGGACACUGGGUAGCAAGUACCCGCUGUCAACGUUGUCCCUCUGCCAUGUAGAGUACGAUCGCGAAGAGGAACGCCCCGUGUGCGUGGUUGGGCCUCCGUCCUCGGCGGCCCUCCCAUAUGUUAUGUGCACAGGGCCGACUGAGCGUAGUCCGACUCUUGGGCGGUGAAUCGUCAUAGCACAGUCAUGCAGACUUGGUCCGGCCGCUCUUCUCUCUCGUUGCGGAGGGCGACGGUCCAAAACUCGACGGGGCUUAUUCUUUUUCUGAC
rnacentral:RNase_MRP_RNA from 1 species